rnacentral:rRNA from 1 species
GAUAAACGCUGGCGGCAUGCCUAAUACAUGCAAGUCGAACGAAGGUGCUAGCACCUUAGUGGCGAACGGGUGAGUAACACGUAUCUAAUCUACCUUUUAGUGGGGGAUAGCCUUUGGAAACGAAGGGUAAUACCGCAUGAGACCACCAUUAUGGCAUCAGAAGGUGAGGAAAGGUCCGUUUGGACCGCUAAAAGAUGAGGAUGCGGCGUAUUAGCUAGUAGGUGAGAUAAUAGCCCACCUAGGCAAUGAUACGUAGCCGAACUGAGAGGUUGAUCGGCCACAUUGGGACUGAGAUACGGCCCNGACUCCUACGGGANGCAGCNGUANGGAAUUUUUCACAA